AGCGGAGGAAAAGAAACCAACAGGGAUUGCCUCAGUAACGGCGAGUGAAGCGGCAAGAGCUCAAAUUUGAAAUCUGGCUCCUUCGGGGCCCGAGUUGUAAUUUGUAGAGGAUGCUUCGGGCGUGGCCGCGGUCUAAGUCCCCUGGAACGGGGCGUCGCAGAGGGUGAGAAUCCCGUCUUCGGCCGGCCGGCCCCGCCCGUGUGAAGCUCCUUCGACGAGUCGAGUUGUUUGGGAAUGCAGCUCUAAAUGGGUGGUAAAUUUCAUCUAAAGCUAAAUACUGGUCGGAGACCGAUAGCGCACAAGUAGAGUGAUCGAAAGAUGAAAAGCACUUUGAAAAGAGAGUUAAACAGCAUGUGAAAUUGUUGAAAGGGAAGCGCUUGCGACCAGAGUCGGCCGCGGGGGCUCAGCGGGCACUCGUUGCCCGUGCACUCCCCCGUGGUCGGGCCAGCGUCGGUUUCGACGGCCGGUCAAAGGCCCCCGGAAUGUGUCGCCUCUCGGGGCGUCUUAUAGCCGGGGGUGCAAUGCGGCCAGUCGGGACCGAGGAACGCGCUCCGGCACGGACGCUGGCUUAAUGGUCGUAAGCGACCCGUCUUGAAACACGGACCAAGGAGUCUAACAUCCACGCGAGUGUUCGGGUGUCAAACCCGUCCGCGCAGUGAAAGCGAACGGAGGUGGGAACCCUCAAGGGUGCACCAUCGACCGAUCCUGAAGUCUUCGGAUGGAUUUGAGUAAGAGCGUGGCUGUUGGGACCCGAAAGAUGGUGAACUAUGCCUGAAUAGGGUGA
rnacentral:rRNA from 1 species